rnacentral:rRNA from 1 species
CCUACGGGGGGCAGCAGUGAGGAAUAUUGGUCAAUGGACGAGAGUCUGAACCAGCCAAGUAGCGUGAAGGAUGACUGCCCUAUGGGUUGUAAACUUCUUUUAUAUGGGAAUAAAACGUUCCACGUGUGGGAUUUUGUAUGUACCAUAUGAAUAAGGAUCGGCUAACUCCGUGCCAGCAGCCGCGGUAAUACGGAGGAUCCGAGCGUUAUCCGGAUUUAUUGGGUUUAAAGGGAGCGUAGGUGGAUUGUUAAGUCAGUUGUGAAAGUUUGCGGCUCAACCGUAAAAUUGCAGUUGAAACUGGCAGUCUUGAGUACAGUAGAGGUGGGCGGAAUUCGUGGUGUAGCGGUGAAAUGCUUAGAUAUCACGAAGAACUCCGAGUGCGAAGGCAGUUCACUGGACUGCAACUGACACUGAGGCUCGAAAGUGUGGGUAUCAAACAGGAUUAGAUACCCGAGUAGUC